CUUUUCUGUAUGGCAUGGCAGUAUACGUUGGUAUAGCUUUCGUCUUUAUUCAUUAGCUCUUGGAGCAAGCAAAGAGCAAGGAGAAAGAGAGAAUGCACAUAUUCUUUUCUGAAAGCGGGUGACAUGCCUGCCGGGCUUCACUAGUAACACAUCCAUCUCAUUCUCUUGGCGAUCGCUUGUUCGUUUGUUCGGCUCCAAUUUCUGUCUGCACGAAAUACAUCGCAGCAAGCAAGCUGCCAGCACCAGGUACGUACGCACUAAUUAAUUUAAUGCUUGCAGUUUUCUGUGUUCUUCUCAAGAGAGUACUUGAAGGAUUCUUGUUUGCUUGGCAAAUGGCAAUAUCCACCUAGAUCAAGGUGCAGAGAUAGGAGCUAGGAUUACAUGCUAGCUUCUUCGUUUUGCUUCCUACUCCUUCAAGACCAUUUAGCAUGGCAAAAACAAGGAGAUUUUAAGUUGUGAUGAUGCGAAACACAUAACAUAUCCUACCCCGUUUCAUAAUACAAGAUGUUUGACUUUUUUUUUAACUUUUGACCAUUAGUCUUAUUAAAACAUUUAGCACAAAUGUAAAAAAUGACAAGUCGUUCUUAAAAUUCUUUUAACAAUAAGGUAAGUCACAAGCAAAAACAAAGAUAUUUUCAUAAUUUUUUGAAUAAGACAAAUGAUCAAAAAUUACAACAAAAAAGUCAGACAUCUUACGUUAUGAAACGGAGGGAGUAAUAUUUUAGACAAAAAUAAUGGGGUAAUCAAUUUUAAUUUAAUCUAUUUAAUGCAUUAAUAGAUUGUAGUUUCCAUAAGAAUUGAGGAAUCAGAGGCUUUCAUGACCAUCGUACCUAUGUAUAUAUAUAAAUAUAUAAUGGUGUACAUAUAUAAAACAAAUUAAUAUUCUGCAGUUCCACUCUCUCAAUCUUUUACUGUCUUGAUAGCGCAUGCGCACCGGCGCUUGAUCUUUUUAUCUGUUUGCAGUCUCAUUCAUCGUGGCAGACUAUCACCAUGGAUCCCAACGGAGGAGUAGUACAACCACCACCAUCACCUUAUCCCGAAGACACACGUUCUCCCCAACACCC
rnacentral:lncRNA from 1 species